GUCUAUUCUUGUCAUUUCAAUUGUGUAUAAAUACUUGCUUAUAAUUUCAAUAAGCAAGAUUUGGACUCAGGACUUUACACUGAACACAGUCCAUCUGUAAUAAAAGUAUUAGUAUUCCAUGCUGAAUUAUUAGUUUAUACAUCGCUAGUUCCAGAGUCUCAAAAGUUAGGUUUCACCAGUAUUCAGAGUUCUCAUUGCUAUUCAGAGCAAUCGUUCGUUGUGUGAUCAGGUGCAUCACACAGUUUCAGUAACAAGAGGCCAUUCAGUCAGGCUCUUGUUACACACCCGACAAGUCACCCAGUUUCACCGGUGACACAU
rnacentral:lncRNA from 1 species